rnacentral:rRNA from 1 species
GGUGAACGCUGGCGGCGUGCUUGACACAUGCAAGUCGAACGGUAUGUGGCAACACAUAGAGUGGCGAACGGGUGAGUAACACGUGGGAACGUACCCUACGCAGGGGGAUAACUGACCGAAAGGACAGCUAAUACCGCAUAAGACCGAAAGGUGAAAGGUGCAACUGCACCGGCGAAGGAGCGGCCCGCGGACCAUCAGCUAGUUGGUGGGGUAAGAGCCUACCAAGGCAACGACGGAUAGCCGGCGUGAGAGCGUGGCCGGCCACAAGGACACUGAGAUACGGGUCCUACUCCUACGGGAGGCAGCAGUGCGGAAUUUUAGAUAAUGGAGGCAACUCUGAUCUAGCGACGCCGCGUGCAGGAAGAAGGUCUUCGGAUUGUAAACUGCUGUGGUAAGGGAAAAAUGCCAUGUAGAGUGGAAAGCUACAUGGAGGGAUGGUACUUUACUAGAAAGCCCCGGCUAACUACGUGCCAGCAGCCGCGGUAAUACGUAGGGGGCGAGCGUUACCCGGAAUCACUGGGCGUAAAGGGAGCGUAGGUGGCCUGACAUGUCAACUGUGAAAACCCGGAGCUCAACUCCGGACUUGCAGUUGAAACUGCCAGGCUUGAGGACGGUAGAGGAAGACGGAACUGCCAGUGUAGGGGUAAAAUCCUUAGAUAUUGGCAGGAACGCCGGUGACGAAAGUGGUUUUCUGGGCCGGUUCUGACACUGAUGCUCGAAAGCCAGGGGAGCGAACG